AGACCCGAAACCCGGUGAUCUAGCCAUGGGCAGGUUGAAGGUUGGGUAACACUAACUGGAGGACCGAACCGACUAAUGUUGAAAAAUUAGCGGAUGACCUGUGGCUGGGGGUGAAAGGCCAAUCAAACCGGGAGAUAGCUGGUUCUCCCCGAAAGCUAUUUAGGUAGCGCCUCGUGAAUUCAUCUCCGGGGGUAGAGCACUGUUUCGGCUAGGGGGCCAUCCCGGCUUACCAACCCGAUGCAAACUGCGAAUACCGGAGAAUGUUAUCACGGGAGACACACGGCGGGUGCUAACGUCCGUCGUGAAGAGGGAAACAACCCAGACCGCCAGCUAAGGUCCCAAAGUCAUGGUUAAGUGGGAAACGAUGUGGGAAGGCCCAGACAGCCAGGAUGUUGGCUUAGAAGCAGCCAUCAUUUAAAGAAAGCGUAAUAGCUCACUGGUCGAGUCGGCCUGCGCGGAAGAUGUAACGGGGCUAAACCAUGCACCGAAGCUGCGGCAGCGAACGUAUCACUUAAAGCGAUUCAGCGGGUUACGAUUGACGGAGCGAAGCGACGUCAAAGCGUAUACAAAGUCGAGUCGGUUUAAGGAUACGUUCGUUGGGUAGGGGAGCGUUCUGUAAGCCUGUGAAGGUGGCCUGUGAGGGUUGCUGGAGGUAUCAGAAGUGCGAAUGCUGACAUAAGUAACGAUAAAGCGGGUGAAAAGCCCGCUCGCCGGAAGACCAAGGGUUCCUGUCCAACGUUAAUCGGGGCAGGGUGAGUCGACCCCUAAGGCGAGGCCGAAAGGCGUAGUCGAUGGGAAACAGGUUAAUAUUCCUGUACUUGGUGUUACUGCGAAGGGGGGACGGAGAAGGCUAUGUUGGCCGGGCGACGGUUGUCCCGGUUUAAGCGUGUAGGUGUGUGUUCCAGGUAAAUCCGGUUCACUUUAACACUGAGGCGUGAUGACGAGGCACUACGGUGCUGAAGCAACAAAUGCCCUGCUUCCAGGAAAAGCCUCUAAGCAUCAGGUAACAUCAAAUCGUACCCCAAACCGACACAGGUGGUCAGGUAGAGAAUACCAAGGCGCUUGAGAGAACUCGGGUGAAGGAACUAGGCAAAAUGGUGCCGUAACUUCGGGAGAAGGCACGCUGACACGUAGGUGAAGUGAUUUACUCAUGGAGCUGAAGUCAGUCGAAGAUACCAGCUGGCUGCAACUGUUUAUUAAAAACACAGCACUGUGCAAACACGAAAGUGGACGUAUACGGUGUGACGCCUGCCCGGUGCCGGAAGGUUAAUUGAUGGGGUCAGCGCAAGCGAAGCUCCUGAUCGAAGCCCCGGUAAACGGCGGCCGUAACUAUAACGGUCCUAAGGUAGCGAAAUUCCUUGUCGGGUAAGUUCCGACCUGCACGAAUGGCGUAAUGAUGGCCAGGCUGUCUCCACCCGAGACUCAGUGAAAUUGAACUCGCUGUGAAGAUGCAGUGUACCCGCGGCAAGACGGAAAGACCCCGUGAACCUUUACUAUAGCUUGACACUGAACAUUGAGCCUUGAUGUGUAGGAUAGGUGGGAGGCUUUGAAGUGUGGACGCCAGUCUGCAUGGAGCCGACCUUGAAAUACCACCCUUUAAUGUUUGAUGUUCUAACGUGGACCCGUAAUCCGGGUUGCGGACAGUGUCUGGUGGGUAGUUUGACUGGGGCGGUCUCCUCCUAAAGAGUAACGGAGGAGCACGAAGGUUGGCUAAUCCUGGUCGGACAUCAGGAGGUUAGUGCAAUGGCAUAAGCCAGCUUGACUGCGAGCGUGACGGCGCGAGCAGGUGCGAAAGCAGGUCAUAGUGAUCCGGUGGUUCUGAAUGGAAGGGCCAUCGCUCAACGGAUAAAAGGUACUCCGGGGAUAACAGGCUGAUACCGCCCAAGAGUUCAUAUCGACGGCGGUGUUUGGCACCUCGAUGUCGGCUCAUCACAUCCUGGGGCUGAAGUAGGUCCCAAGGGUAUGGCUGUUCGCCAUUUAAAGUGGUACGCGAGCUGGGUUUAGAACGUCGUGAGACAGUUCGGUCCCUAUCUGCCGUGGGCGCUGGAGAACUGAGGGGGGCUGCUCCUAGUACGAGAGGACCGGAGUGGACGCAUCACUGGUGUUCGGGUUGUCAUGCCAAUGGCACUGCCCGGUAGCUAAAUGCGGAAGAGAUAAGUGCUGAAAGCAUCUAAGCACGAAACUUGCCCCGAGAUGAGUUCUCCCUGAGACUUAGAGUCUCCUGAAGGAACGUUGAAGACGACGACGUUGAUAGGCCGGGUGUGUAAGCGCAGCGAUGCGUUGAGCUAACCGGUACUAAUGAACCGUGAGG
rnacentral:rRNA from 1 species